rnacentral:rRNA from 1 species
GAUGAACGCUGGCGGCGUGCCUAAUACAUGCAAGUCGAGCGAACAGACGAGGAGCUUGCUCCUCUGACGUUAGCGGCGGACGGGUGAGUAACACGUGGAUAACCUACCCAUAAGACUGGGAUAACUUCGGGAAACCGGAGCUAAUACCGGAUAAUAUAUUGAACCGCAUGGUUCAAUAGUGAAAGACGGUUUUGCUGUCACUUAUAGAUGGAUCCGCGCCGCAUUAGCUAGUUGGUAAGGUGACGGCUUACCAAGGCAACGAUGCGUAGCCGACCUGAGAGGGUGAUCGGCCACACUGGAACUGAGACACGGUCCAGACUCCUACGGGAGGCAGCAGUAGGGAAUCUUCCGCAAUGGGCGAAAGCUUGACGGAGCAACGCCGCGUGAGUGAUGAAGGUCUUCGGAUCGUAAAACUCUGUUAUUAGGGAAGAACAAAUGUGUAAGUAACUAUGCACGUCUUGACGGUACCUAAUCAGAAAGCCACGGCUAACUACGUG